UGGGGGAUAUUGCACAAUGGGCGAAAGCCUGAUGCAGCGACGCCGCGUGGGGGAUGAAGGCCUUCGGGUUGUAAACUUCUUUUGCUCUGAACAAGGCAUGCCUUUGGGGUGUGUUGAGUGUAGGGGUUGAUUAGCGCCGGCUAACUACGUGCCAGCAGCCGCGGUAAUACGUAGGGCGCGAGCGUUGUCCGGAAUUAUUGGGCGUAAAGGGCUUGUAGGUGGCUGGUUGCGUCUGUCGUGAAGGCUCAUGGCUUAACUGUGGGUUUGCGGUGGGUACGGGCUCGCUUGAGUGCAGUAGGGGAGGCUGGAAUUCCUGGUGUAGCGGUGGAAUGCGCAGAUAUCAGGAGGAAUACCGGUGGCGAAGGCGGGUCUCUGGGCUGUUACUUACGCUGAGGAGCGAAAGCGUGGGGAGCGAACAGG
rnacentral:rRNA from 1 species